AGACAAAGGUGUCUUGCUGGAAAGAGAUUCCUGCAUACCUGAAGCCUUCCAAAGGAUGGAUUGUUUCAGGGGAGACUAAAAGCCAAGCUAGAAGUUCUCCUCUGAGAAGGACUAAAGUGUCAUUGGUGCCACCUUGUUUCUCAACCAUCCUGAGUCCAGAGAGACAGCAUAAGUCUACUGCUUGAAACUGGAUGGAAGUAACCAACUGACUAGUUUUGCAGUAGCUGCACGUGAUGUUUGAAGAGAGUAGGAUGUGUUCUGAUAAAAAUGUCAAGCAGGAGGGCCAGGCUUUCUUGAAUCUAGUUCUAGUUGUCAGGGAGCAACAAAGGCUAGCAGCCCAUGAAGAGGAGUGGGAGAGGAGCAGCCAAGGAGUUCCCUGCCACACACACACACCUGAAGGGGCUGAGUCAGGACUAUGCGACAACCUCAGGCAUGGCAAAAGAAUGAGACCUUGCCUCAUCUGAGCGGUCCCAACAAAGUCUGCAUGAGAUAAUGCUGUGAUGUUAAUGCUGAGAACCAGCAUCUCUGCAGCACAGAUCAGAGAAGGACUGAAUUUCCAGGCCUGAAGCCCCUGAGCCUAUUGACUGUGGAGGAAUUGGGGAGGGAGAAUUUCACAAGUGAGGCUGCUCAGGGCUGUUAAUGUUUCUGAGUGCCCUCCAGGUCCUAACAUCAGUACUGGCCUUACAAUCACCUUAGAACUUGGCGAAGUCAGUGGUGUUUUCAAAAGUAUCCACUGACUCUGAGGAAUCAAAUUUAAGGACUCUUUGCAGUCUUGCAACAAUGCUCAAACAUCUGCAUUAUUCAUCUGGCCCUCAUCACUAUACUGAACUGUAGGGAAACUGUCAAAAUGCAUUACUUUCUACAUCUUUAUAUUUUAUAGGUCAAAUCAUUGUCCCUACUUUACAGGUAGAAUUACAGGUAGGAUUUCAAGGCUGAGGUAGACUACUGGCAUGUCUGCACUGUGCAGUGAAGUGUGAAACAUACCUCCUUGGGGUAAUAGUGUUCAUAGUUGCUUCAGAACCAGAAACAGAACAAUCUCAGCACAGCCUUUGAGCAAAUGAACUGUAAUGAUAUAAGAAUGAACUUACAAGGUCUGGCACAGUGGUGUCAGAUGUGGCCAGAUUGCUUUCAGAUCUCAUGAUUUUCUGUUCCUUCUUAAGUAAUGCCUUGCAAAUGUAUCAGCUUGGAAUCUCCAUGCUGUACUUGACUGUACACUGCAGCCAUGCCUGAAGUGGUUCACUUGUAGACAAUAAGGAAGUUGAUGGCAGAGUGCGAAAUACUUUUGGAGGGUUCUUCCUACAGCCUUGACUAAUGCUGAAUAGAUCGCCUCUGGUAGUCACUGAGUAACCAAGGGAACAUUUGCAAAAAAAAAAAACAACAAACAAACAAAAAAAACCCCACGUUCUUGAGGUUGACAAGAGGUGAAGCACAUUUUAAGAAUAUUUUAAGUUGUGUAGAUCUCCCUGUUUGGUCUGAAACACAAAAA